UUGAGCCUUAACAUUCUUUUCUCUUAAGAGGUUUGGCUCAAAUGUGUCCUCCGUUUCAUUGUCUCCCCUCACCCUCUAUACUCAACAGUGAUUAUCUAAGUUGAUGGUACCGUGGGAGAUGGUGCAUUUGGACACGGUGACGAAGGCCAUACUAUGCUCAGAAACUAAACCACGUCUUGGUCCUCACAGGUGGCCUUCAGAGUUCAAAUGUUGUGUCAUCCCUGUUUGUACCGAGAGAGUAGCCUACUAAAAUUUGCUUAUUUGUAGCCUCUCUGUUUCUUCUUAUUAUUCCGUGCUAGGUCCAGUUCUUGUUGAUGAUAUCCUUGCUGGUGAUCUUGCAUAGGAUUGACUGGAUUUGUGUGAACUGGGCUUUGCAAUCAUCGGGUGCGAUUAACUCAAUAGUUUUAGCCUAGAUAGUGAUGUCAUCAUUUGCGUUGACGGUUUUAAAGCAUUGUGUGAACUCGUCCAUGUUGUGCAUGAUGUAGUAGGCAGCCGUCAGACUCUUAUCAUGCGGUUUUUGGUCAAGCGAUCUUGAAUUUCACAAUUGCGACUUAGAGGUUCUGUGUCUCCUUUAAUCAAACUAGUACUGGCAUGUAGGUUUCUUAGGCGUUUUAACCUCCUAUUCUUAUGCGAGGAUCUGAAUUGGUUGCGGCAUGUUUUUAAUAUUGUAAGUUGCAAUUGAAGAUUUUGUGUCUCUUUACAAAAUAGUGGCAUUAGGUUUUCUAGCUGUCAUGUCGUAACAUUUAAUGAUCAUAACUUGCAUGCUCUUGGUCCUUCUACAGUGUUACCCAUGCUAAAUUGGCCAAUUGGGGAUACUCUGAUUUCCGAGAAAAAAUAUGGCAACGGCUUGACUGCGGAGGAAACAACUCAGUAUAAAACUAUUGAUAAGCAAGUCCACUGAGCUAUGAAUUACCAUAUGAACUUGCAUGCUGAGAUGCCUAGAAUAUUUUUCCUGUUGUUUUAGCUAGGCAACAUAUAUAUGGCCGGCACUGAUGCCAAAUUGCUUGAAUGUACACUAGUAGAAAAAGGGCCUUUUGUCUCGGUUCAUAAGGACCUUCUGUCCCGGUUUCGGAACCGGGACAAAAAGGUCGUUACUAAUGCCCUUUGCC
rnacentral:lncRNA from 1 species